GGUUUGCAUGAGGGAUAGUAGCGAAAAUCCUUUUAUAUAAUGAAGCGACAGCGAAAUAAUAUAAAAGAUUGUAGCGUAUAGCCCGACCCGCU
rnacentral:sRNA from 1 species